GGGGGAUUAGCUCAGUUGGCUAGAGCGCUUGCAUGGCAUGCAAGAGGCCAUCGGUUCGAAUCCGAUAUUCUCCACAA
rnacentral:tRNA from 1 species